AAAGGCCAAUCAAACCGGGAGAUAGCUGGUUCUCCCCGAAAGCUAUUUAGGUAGCGCCUCGUGAAUUCAUCUCCGGGGGUAGAGCACUGUUUCGGCAAGGGGGUCAUCCCGACUUACCAACCCGAUGCAAACUGCGAAUACCGGAGAAUGUUAUCACGGGAGACACACGGCGGGUGCUAACGUCCGUCGUGAAGAGGGAAACAACCCAGACCGCCAGCUAAGGUCCCAAAGUCAUGGUUAAGUGGGAAACGAUGUGGGAAGGCCCAGACAGCCAGGAUGUUGGCUUAGAAGCAGCCAUCAUUUAAAGAAAGCGUAAUAGCUCACUGGUCGAGUCGGCCUGCGCGGAAGAUGUAACGGGGCUAAACCAUGCACCGAAGCUGCGGCAGCGACGCUGAUGCGUUGUUGGGUA
rnacentral:rRNA from 1 species